rnacentral:lncRNA from 1 species
CAGGAGAGAACAGGAGAUAUGGCUCACAUAUCAGCCAGGAGCCCUUCCUUUGCUUGUUGAGAAGUAACACAAUGAAGAUUCAAGGUGCUUUGUGUAGGGCUAAAGUUAUCCAGCAAGUGGCUUCUGUUGUAAGAAAACCAAUAUCACGUCCAUCCUGAGUAAGUUUACACAGUUACCUAACCUCUCCAUGUAAGUGAAAAUUCUAAUAUCUAACUUGGCAGUUGAGAGUGAAACGAGUUUAUUAAUCUGCAGACUGCUGGCAGAUGGUAUCCGUUCUCCAUUGUCAAAAUAAUGCCUUGUAACAAGUGACCACAAAACCUCAAGGGCAUGUGACAAUAAGUGUUUAUUGUUCGUGUGUUUGGGUCUGCUGGGGGUUGGCGAGAUGGUUUGGCUGAUCUAGGCUGGGCUUGAGCACAUUUCCGAGGCUUGCCUAGCUGUCAGCUGGCCGAUCGAGGCUGAGACAUCCGGG